AUUGAACGCUGGCGGCAGGCUUAACACAUGCGAGUCGAGCGGGGUGAUGGUGCUUGCACUAUCACUUAGCGGCGGACGGGUGAGUAAUGCUUAGGAAUCUGCCUAUUAGUGGGGGACAACAUCUCGAAAGGGAUGCUAAUACCGCAUACGUCCUACGGGAGAAAGCAGGGGAUCACUUGUGACCUUGCGCUAAUAGAUGAGCCUAAGUCGGAUUAGCUAGUUGGUGGGGUAAAGGCCUACCAAGGCGACGAUCCGUAGCGGGUCUGAGAGGAUGAUCCGCCACACUGGGACUGAGACACGGCCCAGACUCCUACGGGAGGCAGCAGUGGGGAAUAUUGGACAAUGGGGGGAACCCUGAUCCAGCCAUGCCGCGUGUGUGAAGAAGGCCUUAUGGUUGUAAAGCACUUUAAGCGAGGAGGAGGCUCUUUUGGUUAAUACCCAAGAUGAGUGGACGUUACUCGCAGAAUAAGCACCGGCUAACUCUGUGCCAGCCGCCGCAGUAA
rnacentral:rRNA from 1 species